rnacentral:rRNA from 1 species
UACGGAGGGAGCGAGCGUUGUUCGGAAUUACUGGGCGUAAAGCGUAUGUAGGCGGUUUUGUAAGUCAGGUGUGAAAUCCCAGGGCCUAACCUUGGAACUGCAUUUGAGACUGCAAGACUUGAAUAUCGGAGAGGUUGGCGGAAUUCCUAGUGUAGAGGUGAAAUUCGCAGAUAUUAGGAGGAACACCGAUGGCGUAAGCAGCCAACUGGACGAUCAUUGACGCUGAGAUACGAAAGCGUGGGGAGCAAACAGG